UNUGGGCUGUAACUGACGCUGAGAAGCGAAAGCAUGGGGAGCGAGCAGGAUUAGAUACCCUGGUAGUCCAUGCCGUAAACGUUGGGCACUAGGUGUGGGGGACAUUNCACGUUUUCCGCGCCGUAGCUAACGCAUUAAGUGCCCCGCCUGGGGAGUACGGCCGCAAGGCUAAAACUCAAAGAAAUUGACGGGGGCCCGCACAAGCGGCGGAGCAUGCGGAUUAAUUCGAUGCAACGCGAAGAACCUUACCAAGGCUUGACAUAUACUGGACUGCGUCAGAGAUGGCGUUUCCCUUCGGGGCUGGUAUACAGGUGGUGCAUGGUUGUCGUCAGCUCGUGUCGUGAGAUGUUGGGUUAAGUCCCGCAACGAGCGCAACCCUCGUUCUAUGUUGCCAGCACGUGAUGGUGGGGACUCAUAGGAGACUGCCGGGGUCAACUCGGAGGAAGGUGGGGAUGACGUCAAAUCAUCAUGCCCCUUAUGUCUUGGGCUUCACGCAUGCUACAAUGGCCGGUACAGAGGGUUGCGAUACUGUGAGGUGGAGCUAAUCCCUAAAAGCCGGUCUCAGUUCGGAUUGGGGUCUGCAACUCGACCCCAUGAAGUCGGAGUCGCUAGUAAUCGCAGUUCAGCAACGCUGCGGUGAAUACGUUCCCGGGCCUUGUACACACCGCCCGUCAAGUCACGAAAGUUGGUAACACCCGAAGCCGGUGG
rnacentral:rRNA from 1 species